UAGGGCUUAGUUAAUGAAUAAUUUUGGUCUGUCAGUCCAAGGUAGUGGGUGAUCCACAGCCCUAU
rnacentral:tRNA from 1 species